GCAGGAUUGUACUAGGUGGAGAAUAUUCUAGACUGAAGGAACACCACAGAAAAGACAAGAAAGCGUGGAAGGGCGUGGCUUGAGGAAAAAGGUCGGGAAACUGGGGGUUGAAGAAUGAACAGGCUGGUGUCCUUGCAGAAGGCGGCGACGCUCAGCCCAUCUUACCUCAGGGACCCUCUCCGAGGCUUCCACACUUCUGAAAGCAGCUGUUGAACACGGAAAGGCCUGGCGUGGAAUCCUGGCUAGCGCUCAAUCACUGAGCCGCUUCACCCACUUUACAUUCACCUCUGAAAGCAUGAUGCAGGCGUCCCCAACUUAGGGUGGCUCGACUUAGGGGAUUUUUCAACUUUGCGAUGGGCUUAUCGGGAAGCAACCCAUCAUAAAUCGAGGAGCAUCUGUAUAGUUAUCUUGCAGAGGGCAGUGAGGUUUAAAAUGAGCUUUGGUGCUUAUCUUGAGGUUGAGUCCGAGUUUCUUCCUUACACGAUUAUUGUGAGGAUAUGAGAUAUUUAUGCCAAGCACAUUGCACAUUGCCUGCCAGAUAAGAGUUUCAUAAAUGAGGCCGGGCACGGUGGCUCACGCCUGUAAUCCCAGCACUUUGGGAGGCCGAGACGGGCGGAUCACUUGGGCUCAGGAGUUCCAGACUAGCCUGGGCAACGUAGGGAAACCCUGCCUCUACAAAAAAAUUUACAAAAAUUAGCCGGGCAUGAUGGGAGGCUGAAGUGGGACGUUGGCUUGAGCCCAGGAGGAAGAGGAUCCACAGUGAGCCAAGAUCGCACCACUGCGCUUCAGCCUGGGCCACAGAGCAAGACCCUGUCUCAAAAAAAAAAAAAAAAGAUAAAAAAAAGUUUUGUAAAUGGUAGUUACCAUCGUGUUAUUUUGAAGGAAGAGUUAUGAAGGUCUAACCAAGUAGCUGGUUCUUAGUUGUGCUAAAUAAGUAUAGUUAUUUUUUCCCUCCAUAGCCUGUGAGCUAGAAAGCCCAGGUGAGACAUGACACUAUGGAGUCCUAUAACACGGGAAGGAGAAGAAACUCUUUAUGGUACUGGUGGGGGAUCAAAACCCUUGAGAGGUGCUGGCUUUUGUGCAAAGUGGAGUGAUUGGAUCACCCAACCGGAACACCGUUAGCCAGGACAUAAGCUGGAAUUGUACCAGGAAAGUAAAGCUAUAUGGUCACCUUACCCUGAGGCUGUACAAGUAGCAUGUGACAGAAUUUGUCCAUUCUGUCUCAAAUUGCCUUCUCACACUUUCUUUAAUCCUAAUGAUAGCC
rnacentral:lncRNA from 1 species